AUGGAGGAAUGCUUACUGGUUGAAGCGACGAGGAGAAGAAAAUGCAGCUUCGAUCUUGCUCACAAGGAUUUUGGUUGCCAAGGUUAUUCAGACAAAGACUGCCAAGGUUUGUAUCAUAUAAUGUCUCAAAAAAGUCAUCCCCGCCGUUGUGGUCUUCCGAAUAACCGCCAUGUCGUCAAGCCUGGAACGUCCGUCGUGCACUGCUUAUACUUCUCUUUCUUUUAUAUUCAGUUCGUGUUAACAUCCUCUUGCCUACUUCUCUUUCUUUUAUGGACUGAGGAAGAGGAUAACCUUUUGAUAAAGACAGUGAAGAAGCAUGAUGAAAGCAACUGGAAAAAUAGGUGGAUGUGGUAG